CGGGCCCACGGCCCGCGGGACAACGGCAGUUUGUUGGGGCCGCGUGGGGCCGCCACCUCCGGAGGUGGGGGCGGGGGCCUUACCCCACCCUGGCACCGGCAGGCGCGGGCGGAUGGGGGGAUGUCGCCUAGAGCCCCCCGGCCGGCCCACAAACUCCCGUCCCCCUUCCGGCUCUGCCUGGACGUCCCUGCGGGCCCCGGGGGAAAGCACCCAACUUCUCCCGCCUCGGCUUCUAGCAGAAACGUGACGGGGCUGGACUUUGAUCGCCGAGGGCUCUCUGCUCUUCAGAGUCUGCUUGGAACGGGAUAAGUGGGAGGGAUGGUGCCAUCCAGGGAAGCUCUGCUGGGACCAGGCACAACUGCCAUUAGGUGCCCCAAGAAAUUACAGGGCUAUGUUUCCACAUCUGUGAAAAAGGAAACAAGACCAAACAGGUUUGGAAACCUCGUCUCUCCCCUCUACUCCACUCUUUCCUAGUUACUGAUCCGUGUCAUGCUUUGCUUUCUCUGACUUCCAACUUCGCCUAAUGCUCUUCUUUCUGCCUGGAAUGCUCUUCCCAUCCUCCUUACCAAGCUAACUCUCAUUUCCUCCUGGAAGUCUUUACUGACUCCUAUUAGACUUGUUUAGAUCCUACUAUUAUGCAUUCAAAAAGAAUGCUAAACUUCCUCUAUCAUAUUAUUGUUAUGGCCUGUGUGUUUUUCAUUGGGGAAAAAAAUCUUAAAUCCAGGUAAGGAUAUUUUGAUCUAUUUGCUUCCAUUGUGUUGUUUAAAUAAAACAAAAACAUUCUAAAUAAACUUGAAGUAGUUAAGUUCCCUUUUCUCUCCCCACUUCCUUCACUCUCUCCCCAA
rnacentral:lncRNA from 1 species